CCAGCUGGCCGGGCGGCCGCGCCCGCAAGAGCCGAAAGGCUGCGGGUGAGGAAAGUCCGGGCUCCAUGGAGACACGGUGCCGGCUAACGGCCGGCGGGGGAGACCCCAGGGAAAGUGCCACAGAAAGCAAACCGCGGCAUUCGCCGCGGCAAGGGUGAAAGGGUGGGGUAAGAGCCCACCGCGCGACUGGCAACAGAAGCGGCACGGCAAACCCCACCGGGAGCAAGACCGAAUAGGGGCGGUGCGAAGGGAAACCUUCGAGGGCUGUUUCCGGCCCACCGCCCGGGUAGGUUGCGUGAGGCGCAUGGCGACAUGCGCCCAAGAUGAAUGGCCGCCACGUUCCCGCGCCGCAAGGCGUGGGGGCCAUACAGAACCCGGCUUACAGGCCAGCUGGCAUU
rnacentral:RNase_P_RNA from 1 species